GCCCGCUUGCACAAAACUCUUUAGUCCGGUCUUAUUCUGAUAUUCAGGCUCAUUCGAAUCUUAUUGGAGGCUUAAUCUUCCCUAGCCGAUAAGUCGCUUGCACGAAAGAGACUAGACGGAAACAAGACUCCAAAUUAAGAUUGAAAUGAGACCGGAAUCUAGACUGCUUCGAGCUGGCUUAUCCAAAACUUAUUCAGUAUUUUCCAACAUGGCGGCCCUGCGGUUGGCCCGCCUCGAGAUGCUCUCCGAGCACUUGCUGCGCCGCGAACGUGUGUUUCGCGACAGGACAAAUCCGAUGGACGCCUUCAGCGAGGAGGAGCUGCAGCGGCGCGUACGCUUCGGGCGGGACGGCAUAGUAUUUCUUGUCGAGUUCCUUCGCUCCGAGAUCGAGCACCCGACGUGUCGGAGUGGUGCUUUGAGCUCCGAGCUGCAGGUGAUGCUGGCACUGAAAUUUUUUGCCUCCGGAUGCUUCUUGAUUACUGCCGGAGAUGUGAUCGGCGCCCACGAAUCGACCGCAAGCCGCACGGUACGCCGGGUUGCCUCAUCAGGUAAGCCUCUCUCCAACCAUUUAUUUUCUACUGCCUGUUUUAGUAGACAGCUUUAGUACUGCGUCGUAACGAUAAAUACGCCGCACGCAAGUUCUUUGCGGAACGUAGGAGCGCGUGUCGCGUUAGGAAUUUAGUGCUGCGAAAUGCCUACGUGCGUAGAGGGCGAGCGUUAGACGCCGGGCGCGUCGGAGCGCAUUGGCCGCGUCCGCCAGUACGUCGAAUCAUCGGUGGAACUAGGCUCUGUUGAUCUCGCUAAUGUGAUGUAACGUGUGGCCGCGUUCCCGCUUCGUCGAACUUUAAAUUUGAACAAGCUGCGCUGCCAGAACAUCAGCUGACGAUGUCUCGAAUGUUUGCACCUACUCGACUGCAACAAAGCUAACUGAUUGCACGUACCGCGAAGGCGUCGCUCUCCGUGAUUAACGUUUCCAGCCUCAAUUGGCCGUCGCCUAGACAGGUGCGGGGAGUCCAAGGCUGCUUCUACGCUGUCGCUGGCUUUCCGCGCGUCGUGGGUGCAAUUGACGGCACGCAUGUGCGGAUACAGGCUCCUGGAGAGCAUGAAGAAGCCUAUGUCAACCGCCACUUUUAUCACUCCAUAAACGUUGAACUUACUAAAUAAGGCAGUGGUUUUCUCGCUUAUGAUACGGACCAAAUCUAUUUUUGCUUCUUCGCUCCAGUGAUGGCUCUUGAGUCGCUUGGCGGGCGGUUGCGACGACAUGCUUGAAAACACGCGCGUACCGUCAACGUUUGGAGCUAGUUCGGCUGCUUCUGCAGGGGUGACAAGCGCGGGAGUGCGGCCGGAUGUUGACGUCGAAUCGCGGUCAACUAUUGGACAGCGCGAACGCCUGUCGCCGCCGCAACCAACUUCCGGCCCAUUCCCCAUCUCAUUCCCUGUCGACGGCGAAAUUUCACACCUAGGUACUAAAAGUACCUAACGUCUUCAAUAAGUCCGGACUAUAGUUCAGUCUCGUCGGUUCGUGCAAGCGAAACAUGAUGGCCGGAAAGUCCAGUCUUAUUUUAGAUUACAAUAAGACAAGAUUCGGAUUUAAGUCUAGACUUAGAGGCUGGCGUUUGUGCAAGCGGGC
rnacentral:misc_RNA from 1 species